ACAUGGUACUGCUAUACCACAAAAGCUUCUAAAGUCUGCCUUGGCCCUCAGCCCAAAGCCCAUCUGUGUCUGGUUGGGAAGGCAGUUUUACUGCAGCUGUCAAACAGUGUGAACAAUAACCCAGCUUACUUCGGAAAUGGCACCAAACUCACAGUGCUAGAGCAUAAUAUUUCUGAACCGAAUCUUCACAUCCUCGAGCCGUCGAAGGAAGAGACUGUGAAGAAGAAGAGGGUGACCCUGGUGUGUCUGGCCACUGGUUUCUACCCGGACCACAUUCAUAUCACCUGGAAGAUCAAUGGCAAGGACAGAGAGAACGGGGUUAAAACAGACGAUCAUGCAACCAAGGACAAAAGCAAGAACACAUAUAGCAUCAGUAGCCGACUAAGACUGACUCCGAGAGAAUGGUUUAACCCUGAGAACAGCUUUGCCUGCUCUGCAAAGUUCUACAAGGGAAAUGGUUCCGAAUCUGUAACUCAUGAAAAACACAUUUCUGGAAAGGAAGGUUGCGUUGUCACUCCUGACUCCAUGAGCAAGGACUUGGGAGCAGCCCGGUUGACCUUCCUCCUCACUGUGUAUAAGAGCGUCCUGUACGGUCUGCUAGUGAUGGCGCUGGUGUGGAAGCUGAAGCCUAAAAGUGAGACUCGGUUUCAUUGAAAAGAGGAAUCCGUGUGAAAACCAGGGAAAUGCUUGCUGCCUGCAGACUCAAGUAUACAGCCAUGUGCACACAAAUCUUACCGUAGGAUUUAUAAACUGCUCAUUUUCACACUGUUGCAUCGUGUGCGUGUGCGUGCAUGUGUGCGUGCGUGUGUGUGUGUGCGUGUGUGUGCGUGUGUGGGCAGGUAUUACUAUCAAUGUGGGGACAAAAUUUGAGAAAAUGUCCCCACAAAGACAGCAUCUCCUGAAAAAACGACGUUGCAGGGGCGAGCCCACUUUGCAAAACACCUUUUUAAGAACUAAAUAUGCUGUUCAAAAAAGCAACUGAAAGUGGCAAAAUAUUUUGUUUGUUGUCGACUUUCUCCCUGUGUGGAGUUUUGUGUGACUGGAGUUAGGAACAGUAAAUAAAAAUAUAGUGAGAGUCAAUGAGACGACCUCACAAGUACAGGAAAACAAACCUGUGUGUGUGUGUGUGUGUGUGUGGAGAAGAGGGGAUGAGGGAGAGAGGUAUACAGAAAUAUAUAGCAGCAUUUCCAAUGCUAUAAUGAAGUAAAACUGCACAAUCAUGUUGUCAUUUUUUAGUGCUGCUGCAAGUACACUUUUCUUUGUAUUUACAUUUUAUGCCUUAUGCUUCUGUUCUCCCUGUGUACUUAAUAAACUGUGU